UAGAUAAUAAUUUAAUUAAAAAUAAGAGAUUGUGGAACUCUAAAUGGUAAUCCUUAUCUUC
rnacentral:tRNA from 1 species